GCUGAGAAAAUGGGACCCCAAACCAACCAACCACCUCUCUUUUUGCACCGCCCAGCGGUGCUGGGCUGCGCGCGUCGGCGUCCACCGAGGCACCGAGCAACUCCCGGCGCCGGCGACCCCUCCCCAUCCUCUUCCAGCGCUGGCGCAUCAGGCUCCACAGCGCCGCCUCGAUGCUCCUUCUUCCAGUGCUAGCGCCAUCGGUUUUUGUCAGUAGCGACCUAGCUUGCUCUUCCCGCAACGCCCGUGAUGCGCUCGACGAAAUGCCGCGUCGGACCAUGGGCGAGUGCGGAUGGGUCCUUGCUCCUUCGGACUCGUGGUCCAGCGUCGUUUAGGUUCCGCACCUGCGGCGCUGAUCCGCUUGUGGCCAUCCGCAACGGCCACGGCCUCGUCAUUGUUGCCACCUGUGGCCUUCCGGUCGAAGCCCUCUUUGCCGCUGCGCGCAGUGAUAGGGAACACCUGGUACGAUGAGUCUAUCGAUAUUUUGCGGAAGCUCCAUCUCGAGGCCAUGGUCCAUGGCGCGCGCCGAUUGAGGUGAGGGGCUGAUUAACUGAUUCUGAUGAUGGGUGAGGCCGUGAGGGGACAUGACGAUUGAGGUUGUGGGAGUCAGUAGCAGGUAGAAUGUGAUGGAUAUAUAUGAUCGCCUGGGCAGUGUGGUACUGGACAUGAGAAAAAAAGCUGGGUGACAGUCUGACAGACUGCCAGGGCCCGGAGAAGAGGAGAAAAACAUGUGACCUGUCUCGAGGGACAAAGGUUGUUUCUCAGUGUUUCAUAGGCAAGUUUUUGUACUGAAUUCCAUGUCAAUUUACACGAUCUAUUAUUCUAGAUUCUGUUUAUUUGUUAGAGAUUAUGGUUCUUCAGAUUAUAGUUGAUGAACCUCUGAUGAGACUGAGAGGAUGACACAAUUGCCAUUUUGUAAUCAUUGAUAUGACCACCUUUCUGCUUCCUAUGACAUUUUUCUAUCUAUAAAUAUAACCUCGUUAUGUGUACUUGGGAAUUAAUUAAAUGAUCUUUGAAUUCAGCAUUUUUUGUAAUCUUGUGAGGACUCCAUACCUUAUAAGACCUUUAGUUAUUGCUACUCAAAAUAUUAGCUCAUUGCAGUAGAUGGCUUUGCAAAUGCUGCCAUAUACCGGUGUUCUUUUGAGGUAUAUUGCCUAUAUAUGUUUUUCAAUAUAAGUUUUCUUCAUCUAUCAUUUUCUCUGUGCUCCGCAUGGCAGGCAACAUUGUAUUGGACAAGUCUGAUCUCCAAUGUACGUCAAGGGUUCUCAAGCAUAGACUUACUGAAGAGAAUGCAAUAUGCCUUUUGUUUUAGGACAUAUAUUGAUUAUGUUAUUUUUAAAUCUGUUCUAAUGAAUAAGUCUGGCCAUCUUUGUGCUUGCAGAAAAGCUUUUUAAUUCUGUAGCAACUAGACUUGAGGGGAGAUUCGGGAUCCUCCACAAGAACAUCCUUAACUGUUUAGGUUUCAGCCUUGGAGCAUGCUGCUAGUGCCAGCUGCCUUGGAGUGAGGGAAACCAUAUGUCACUGUUUUUGCUGUAGUAAAUGGUGUGAGCAAAUCUGCAUAUCUUGCAAAAUGUUAUUCUCCUUCCAUGUUACUUCUGAUAAAACUGUUUACUAUGCAUGAUCUUGAAAUCACACAACUUGCAUACUGGCAUAUUGUGGUUUAUCCUCAGCGCAAUGCUGGCAGCAUGCUACACCUUCUGCAUGCUUAUACUAGCAGGGUUCAAGUAGUAUCUUAACCCUUUGUAUUGAAUCAUUCAAUAAUAAUAUAUUUUUGUACAUUUGUGGCCUUGAGCUUCAUGUGGUGCUUACUGCUUAACCUUUUUCUUUGAAAUUUCAGUGAUAAGGCAUCCCUCUACAUCAAGUACAUGCCCAUCUAGUGUUUAAGUGUUGUCAUGUGCCAUCGGGCUUAAAAUGAAAGAUUGCCAUUUGGUAGAGACUUCAGAAUCACAGCCCAGUUGCUGAAUCUUGCUCAUUUUCACCUAAUAUAAUAUACAGUCUGUUGGUUUUGUUUGCUUGACAUAUUCAUCUGGGGACUCAAAUUGAAAACCUUAGCACAAAUUCAUGGCGUUCAUAUUUUCUCUAGAUAGGAUAUUUCUUUGUUGAUCCAUAAUUUAUUAGUCUGCUGUUUUAUGACUAGGCUGCAACUCUUGAACAUCCAAUGCAUCUUCCUCUGCUAAUUGAUUUGCAGGCACGCACCUUCCAUUUUAUCACGCAGCAUAGUUGGUUUUUCAUCUCUUUUUGCUUCUUUAGGCUGCUAUUAUGAGUCAACAUAAUGUCCAAACUAUCUUUGUCUUUCAUCACCUGUUUUUCACCUUCUAUGGGUUGGGUAGUUCAUGAUCUAUUCCUGAAGAAAGUAAAUACACACAUUCUGCAGCUAAGCAUGGAUGUCCAUUAUUGGGUCUUGAUGUAACCUUUUUCGGCACAACUUUUUCGUCAACCUGAUAAACAUUCCAGGUACAUUAUAUCAUCCUUUAGCCAUCGUGUAAAGUCUGUGUCAAAGGUUCUUUAUAAAUUAAAUUUUCUGUGAAGAGCCUUCUUCUUGAAGAUAAAAGAGCAUCUCCUUUCAUCUUCUCUUUCGUUGAUCAGAUGCCUUACGGCAGACAUGUGUUUGGCAUUGACGCAUUAGCCAAUUUCUAGGGACAUAUUCCUGCUUUCCAGAAAUUUAAUACUGAAACAUUAUCAUAACGUCAAUUCUUGUUGUCAAUUUAUUGGUACGCAAGAGGCAAAAAGAAUUUAGUAUUAGAAACAAAAUUUGUAUGUUUGAUGAAGACAUGAUAUUCUGUAGAAAAGCAUAUUUCAUGAGCUUCGCUGGUUUACAGGUCCAUUGGCCCAGGAAAGCUUUGAGAAGCGAGAGGAUCAGCUUUAAUUUCCUUCUACAAUGAUAUUUUGUCACGUCGCUUCCUACUUCUUUCUUACACAUGUGAUGAUAGUUUCAUUCCCUGAAAUUGACUACCAAUUAUAUUCUUGUUUCAUGGCAUGAAUUUUGUAACAUUAGCCGAAGGUUCUCCCUGUCUUCUCAUUACAAUUGUUUUUUCAGGUAUACUGAAGCUCAGCUGGCACUUGUAUGCUUGUGCAGAGGCACACAGCUACAAUUUGUCGGCUGAGGCCUGAGGGAAAAGAGAGCUAGCUUCUUCAUUACAAUCGGAUUCGAAUUUUGUAGUGCAGCUAUCAAAUGGACUGGCCAAGGUAAGUUAGUGAUUCUUUUAGGCAUCUCUUGCUAACUAGUGAACGUAAUCUUACACUUGUGUUGUUUCUGCUACACAAACAAUUCUGUCUGUUGGAUUGGCAUGUUAUUGCCAACUUGACCCAGGAUAUUUGGGCAUCUAUUUGGCAUAUAUUUGCCUGUGCGUCUUGACUCAAAUAGCUUCUGAAAAUAACUUGUGCGGAUGCAAAUCUUCAGCACAAACUUAGAAUCUGCUGUUGACCUACUAAGAUCAUCUACUGGACCAUGUAUGCAUUAUUUAUGCUCCACCGGUGCCAUAACGUCAGAUGAAUGACAUGUCGCUUGAAAGCACAAUUCCAUCUCCAUCAAAGAACUGAUUCCUGGUGUCUUGUAUGAUACAUUGAAUACUCACAGUGACUUGAUUUUCA